rnacentral:lncRNA from 10 species
GCUGGCUGUGCUCCAGGUUGUGUGUCGUUGUCUCAUUGUGGAUGCUGAGGAUGUUAGCACUCUGAAGGAAGCUUUUGUGUCAUCUGACAGGAAUCAUUGAACACUGACUGGACUCCAGCACAAUGCAGCUCGUUUUCACUGUCUGAAUUUCGUCUGCACCCAUGAAAAGCAAGUCAGAGGUGUGAGAAGACUGCUUCACCUUGGACUUGCCUUUGUUGUGUUUUGUGUUUUUUCUAGAGAGCCACUGCAAGGCCCAGGAUGAAGAGAGACAGUGAGAAGAUCCCAACCAUUUAUCACUGACACCGGCAUCUGUGGUCUCAGAAUGAAAUCCCAAAAUGAUGCAGGAGUGCCCCCUCGUGACUUGAAGCACCUGCUCAGCUGGAAACUGAAUUUCAGAUCCUUCCAGCGGUCCCUGCAGUCGGGUCCAGUGGAGAAGGAGGCAUUUCAGGACUGUGAAGUGAUUGCUGGAAACCGCUCUUCUAACUCCAUUCCAGAAAGAGUCUGUGUGCAAGAAUCUGGCCCCAUGGGGAUUGGAAUAUAAUCUGGUGAGUUGUUGAAGGGUCGUUGGGUGACGGAAACAUACCUGAGACACCAGAGACAGGUGUCAGCAAAACUUGGCCGGGCACUUGACCUCACUGCCUCCACCUUGCUCCUUGCAUGGGCUCUCUGGGAAAGGCAGAAACCAUAACAAAUGCAAUUCCAAUGUGGAGCAGUGAUCUCACAUCUCAAACAGGCCUCUCACGGGUGCAGAUGAGGUUGAGACAGUGUCUUAGAGGGCAUCUGUGGUGUUGUAAGCCUGAAAAGUGUGUCCAGUAGUAAUGUUGAGGGGCACUGUGGACCCUCAAUGAAAACACAGAAAAAUCAAUGAUCACCUGAGAGAGCAAGCUGACUUGUCCUGCAGUCCAAGCAACGUUAAAAUAUUCUUGUCUGAGGACACAAAAGCAUCCUGCAAAGUGCUAACAUUCUCAGCCACCAAAAUGACACUAUGACAAUCUGGAGUGCAGACAGCCCACAUGAAGUCUUUUUUGCUCCCUGAAAUCCCUGGCAGCCAGAAGAUCUGUGGUGAAGAUGUGGGACCCCAUACACCCCUCACCAGAUAAUAUCUUCACCCCAUCUGACUUUAUUGCUGCUCACACUCUCUGAUGUAGAAUGAUAUCUCAAGACAAUGAAGGAGUGCCACCUCAGGAUGUCAAGCACCUUCUCAGAUUGGAAGCCGACUCCAGGAAAAUUCAAGGGCCCUGCAAAAAGGACUGCUACUGUCUCUCUCUUGGUUGGCCAUAGGACAAUGAAAGAGUGGGAAAUGUUUUGGG